UUAGCUGGCAAGCAUAAGGAAGCGUGUCCGAUUGUUAUUUUAAUCGAACUUAAAUUGUUUAAGUGUGAUAAAUGUUGCAUUUCGGGAUCGGUCGCCAUGACAGUUUCGGUAGUGUAUCGGUACGGUGUACUUAUGCUCCUCAAUUAAUCGCAAAUUUCACCGGUCAGAAAUGCACGAUGAGCAUAAAUUUCUAUCGGAAAUGUCGACCAGAGGGACGGGCCAUCAUCAGAAUAUAUCAGUUAACACGAUCCUUCGUGAUCAGUGCCGUUUCGCCGAUCGCAGUUCAACGCUGUGCCUGCUGUGCCCCGAGCCUCUGUUUUGUAACCUACAGUUUUAAUAAACAUAGAUUUCGACACUAUCGGGCGAAAAUUAUCCUUGUGUUGUCUCGAGAGACUUGAAAAACGGUGUAACUGGUUGAGAUAUAACGUCGAAAAAUUGAGUCAUACCGUAUUGUGUACGGCGAAUUUCGCCGGCUAAGAAUGCACGAUAAGCGUGAUUUCUAUCGGGAAUGUCGACCGGAGCAAUGGGCCAUCAUCCAGAAUAUGUCAGUUAACACGGAUGAAUCUUCGUGAUCAGUGCCGUUUUGCCGAUUGCGACUCAAUUACGCUGUGCACUGUUUUGUAACCUACAGUUCCAAUAAGUAUGGAUUUCGACGCUAUUGGGCAAAAAUUAUCCUUGUAUUCUCCCGAGGCUUGAAAGACGAUGUAACUGGUUCGAAUAUAACGUCGAAAAAUCGAAAUAUACUAUAUUGUGUGUGCCAUUUGUUGCGCCUAAUGGAAAAUCUGCUACAGGUAUACAGUGUAUGUAUAGUAUAGAUGGAUUUUGAGGCUAGAUAUAUUUCAAAACCUUUAUAAUACUGAGAUUUGCCUACGUCUAAUGGAGAAAUACUUCUUAACAUGGAUUGAUGAUAAUAGCCGAUUGUAAUUUGUGAGCAGAUGCAUCAUGAAGUAAAGAAUUCUGUCCACUAAUGUUUUCCAAUGGAGCUGAUGCGGAUCAUUUCCUGAGAUAAAUUUACAAUGGGGGGAGCGAUAC
rnacentral:lncRNA from 13 species